rnacentral:misc_RNA from 1 species
AACCAUAGAAACCUGCGGAGUACCUGCGGAGGGAUCAUUAACACUCCAAAUUUAAAAGAUCUCCAACUCCUCAAGAGUUGGGGCUCUUUUAAAACCCCCCUCUUUUAACUCUUCGGAGGAAAAGAGUACUUAAAAGCCUGAGUCUCUCUUGGGCAACUUUAUACCUUAUUAAGAGGUAUAUCUCAUUGGAGGAUCCCUUUUGAGGGGUUCUCUAAAUGGGGUAUAUGAACCCCUUUAUAU